rnacentral:rRNA from 1 species
CCUACGGGUGGCAGCAGUGAGGAAUAGUGGUCAAUGGACGAGAGUCUGAACCAGCCAAGUAGCGUGAAGGAUGACUGCCCUAUGGGUUGUAAACUUCGUUUAUAAAGGAAUAAAACGAGGCACGUGUGCCUUUUUGCAUGUACUUUAUGAAUAAGGAUCGGCUAACUCCGUGCCAGCAGCCGCGGUAAUACGGAGGAUCCGAGCGUUAUCCGGAUUUAUUGGGGUUCAAGGGAGUGUAGAUGGGUUGUUAAGUCAGUUGUGAAAGUUUGCGGCUCAACCGUAAAAUUGCAAUUGAUACUGGCAGUCUUGAUUACAGUUGAGGUAGGCGUAAUUCGUGGUGUAGCGG